GGGAUGAUGUCAAGUCAGCAUGGCCUUUAUAUCCUGGGCUACACACACGCUACAAUGGCCAACACAAUAGGUUGCUAAGCCGCGAGGUGGCGCCAAUCCAAUAAAGUUGGUCUCAGUUCAGAUUGUAGGCUGCAACCCGCCUGCAUGAAGAUGGAGUUGCUAGUAACCGCAGGUCAGCUAUACUGCGGUGAAUACGUUCCCGGGGCUU
rnacentral:rRNA from 1 species